rnacentral:rRNA from 1 species
ACCAGACUCCUACGGGAGGCAGCAGUGAGGAAUGUUGGUCAAUGGCCGAGAGGCUGAACCAGCCAAGUCGCGUGAGGGAAGAAUGUCCUAUGGAUUGUAAACCUCUUUUGUCGGGGAGCAAAGCGAACCACGUGUGGCUCAUUGAGAGUACCCGAAGAAAAAGCAUCGGCUAACUCCGUGCCAGCAGCCGCGGUAAUACGGAGGAUGCGAGCGUUAUCCGGAUUUAUUGGGUUUAAAGGGUGCGCAGGCGGAGGUGCAAGUCAGCGGUCAAAUUGCGGGGCUCAACCCCGUACUGCCGUUGAAACUGCAUCCCUUGAGUGCGCGAGAAGUAUGCGGAAUGCGUGGUGUAGCGGUGAAAUGCAUAGAUAUCACGCAGAACUCCGAUUGCGAAGGCAGCAUACCGGCGCCCAACUGACGCUGAAGCACGAAAGCGUGGGUACCGAACAGGAUUAGAUACCCGAGUAUC